GUUAAAGUCAGGAAACCAAUUUUCUUUCUACCAAUCUCCUCUUCUGUCGGGUAAACACUGUUGAAUGGCAAGAGGCUAUAGAUAUGGCUUGGAACUACUUAUCAGCCAAAUUCUUCAGUUUGCCCUAUCUGCAUGGCAGCACUUGUCACAAAUAGAACAGAGAUAUCAGGAAAUACCCACACCCUCUGAGAGCAUCCACAUUUUAGGUGUCAUCCAUCUACCCACCCCCAUCAGUAGGAAAAGCAGGAAGGUCAUUUGUACGUUACUGCCUUAAUAACAUUGCCCUUAUUAACACUUCCUCUCCAGUUUGAUAACAUUUGGGCAAUAAAACUGACACAAUUAAGUUAUUUUUCAAUUAUCAGCUAAGGUGGAAGGCUGAAAUGGGUCCUUUCCAGUGGCAUUCUUAUACUAAAGUCAAAACAUUGUUUUAUUUUACCAUUUACUACCAAUUAAGGAGAAGAACAGGAAAACCUGUAUGAAAUAACAUUUAACCAAUGACAACCACACGUAAUUAGGAAAUGUCUGCAAGUACAGGGUGAGGUCCAUCUCUGCACAGAAGAGAUUUCUCAUAUUAAGAGCCCACAAGCCAGUAGUAACAACACAGCAGUAUCAGACUAGAAACAGAGAUCCACCAGACCCAGCUCUUGGACAGCCAACACAGCCAGGCCUCCUGCCAAGCUCGGUGAUCCGUGGAGCCAGCCAGCUUCCAGCAUUUCCAGCAGCCAGGCAGCUAAGAGGAGCUCAACCCCUUCCCAGCUGGGCAUGUAGCAACAGCAGGAGCACAGUGCCUGGUCAAGGCUUGAAGAGUUUGCCACCUCCCCCAGGACCCUGGCUUGAGCUCUGUGGUGUGGACAAGCCCAGCACACAUCAGCCAGAGUGGUAACAGAUCACGGGCAUACCCAGGUAACUCUGACCUUGGCUUCCUUCAUUGUUGUGGUCUGAUGUCACGGUUUGCCUCAGACACCCCGGGUUUCUCCUGAAGUUUCCCUCGCAGGUGUGUCAGUCACCUCUCCUUCCCCCACCCCUGCCGGGCACUGGCUGUCAGUCCCGGAAUUCCAGAAGGGCUUUGAGUGAUUAGGCAGAUUCAAGAGAUGCCCCCCACCCCGGGGUGCAUUGGGCCAGCCAGGUGUCCUUUGUCCCUUGAAACCUCCUCUCCCGUACCUGGUUGGUGGCUCCCUCUCCCUUCCCUCCCCUCUUCCCUGGGUUAAAAGGACGGGCAACCACGCAGCCUGGGCUCUGUUGGAGCUGUUGCUGGAUUUGGAGGCCUGUGGGCCAGAAUAAAAACUCUGGAUGAACAUCCUCCAUCAGAACUGACUCCUUCACCAUCGCCCUAAAGCUUCUCCAGCACAGGGAACCUGAGGAGCGACCCUCCACGGGAGGAAGCUCCAUCCUGCCACCACCAGAGCUCCAGCAUGCCUGGACAUGUCUCCAUGUGCCCAGCUGUAACAUCCAGCUAGCCAAAAGUGUCUCUGGGGUGAAACACCACAGCUGCCACUGUUUGGUUCAGACACAGGGGCCGGGCAAGCCAAGGCACAUCCCAUCAGCAAUAUUGGUAAAUACCAAUACCUCAUGUCUCAAGAGCUGAACUCGUGGCCUGAGUCUCCUCUCCAGGUAAUCUUCUCCCAGUUGCAGCUCACACCUCACUAUUACUGAAUGCAGUUGGAAGUGGAAGCACGUGGAUCCAAGAGGAGACCACUUCAGCCAAGCACCAGGUGCUGGGUGUCUGACAGGAGCCUGGGGGGCACUGAGGAACACCCAGCUCAGCACUGGUGGGUAACUCACACUCCGUGGUACCACAGAAGCUCCUGGCAGUAUCACUGUGCCAUGGCUCAACUGAGCAGCACGGGGGAACUCUACAUCCCUGCUACCCAAACACGGUUUGAAAAGAUGAAAAGUCACUGUUCACCUCCAGUGUGGAGUGGCAACAACUCCGCAUGGGACAGGACAAACUGGAGAGGCCUGAACAGCAGCCUAGGCUGCUCAGCACCAUCUCUUUCCUCUCCAGCUCACAGGGCUGGGGCAUUGGACACAAGAGCAGUCACCAGCCACAUGAAUAGCAGUACUUCCCAUGUCCUACACAGGAACUACACUCAGAGCUAGUGAGCAAGACAGGAAACAAAGCUGUGAUGCUGAGUCUUAUCUGCCUUCAGGAAAAUAAAUGCCGGCUAAGGGCUGGUGUGCUGGGUUUUGCAGGGGAAGAAUACUUGUGCGGAGAAUGAGAUUCUGGAAGAGGAAUUAGUGUCCUGGUUAUUAACGAAAUGCCAACACCACGUUCACUUAGAGAGCAAAGAAUACUCCAACUGUUAGCCAUCAUCUAUUAUUUGUUGGCAAUUACCUAAAUUCGGCAGCCAGCUUACAUUUUGCUCAGAGCCACAGUUACCUCACAUUUGUCACUCCUGGAUCCUGCACAGUGCAAAUCUGAUCUGUUUCAAGAAGAGCUGGAUAAUGUUCUUCCAUGAAAUUAGCCAGUUCCAUGUGGUACAGUGCUCAACUUGUUCUUCGACCAGCUGCUAGAGGACGGCUGACACCUGAUCUGGGACAAAGCUGCAGGGGCACCAUUAAGAGCACAUUGGCAGCCUGUCACUGCUGGGUGACAUGUGGCUGCAGCCAUUCCGUUCCUCACACUGGCCCACAAGGCAAAUGUACUGUGUUCUUCUAUUCUGACUGAAAGCACAGACUAAAUCUUGCUUUUAGACAGAAAACUCUAACAGAAAUCACCGUGACCUCCCAGCAAAAUCGGCAGAAAUCAGAGCUGACAUACCUGAAAUUUCUAAGGAGAAAGUAUCAUCCAAAACCGCCAGGCAAACAACUCUGAGCACAGCUUCGAGUUUAUAACCAGGGAUUCCACAUAUCCUGAGGACUGAGUGUACAAAACCAGCUGGGGGGCAGAGGUCAAAUGGGAACAAAUACCCUAAGAGGAUGUUUGAAGGCAGGAGGAAUUUUACUUACCGGAUCUAAAUGAGCCAUUGUUAACCAGAUUUGGAAGAUUAAACCAACAUGCGUAUCCCAGCUUUGCUGCCCUUACCAGAAUUCAAGCGAACACCAAAUCAAGGCAGCCAUAAAGAGAAGUAACCAGUGUGUUAAUGGGUGCAAUGCUGAAGGAGCUACAGCUGCAAAAGUGGUGCUUUGAAAUUCUCUGACUGAAAUGCAGGCAUUUACCGCAGCCUCUGCCUCAGGGUAAAUGGACACAGGACAGCCCAAGACAUUCCAUCUUAACUUGAAUGAAUUUUCCCGCGUGUUACACACUUGGAUUGUUCAAGCAGCCCAGGCUAAACUCUUGAAUAAAUCAAUGGCUUCGGAAGCAAAGGUGUGACUCUGGAGGAGUCGCACCUCACCCCUCAACUUCCCCAUUCAUCAUGGGGAGCUUGUAAUCCACUCCGAGGCUGAGCUGAAAAUCUUUCCGCAACACUCAGCAUUUUGGUGAUUGUUCAAUCUCAGACCCAGCCUAAACAAGCAAGCACUGGGUGGUGGUCGGAUCAAUAUUUGCAAUGGAAAAUGUCAUACAAAAGGACAAAUUAUAUUGUGUACCCAGUGCUCGCUUUGUAACAGGACUGGCUGGCUCUGAGGAAGGGGCUACAGACAGAACACUGACACUCAGUGCAGGGAGCCUCUGGGGGAGUUCAGUGCAUUCCCUUCCACUCUGCAAGGACACAAACGCUCAACAGCUGCAUCUAAAGAAGGAUUGUUCUGAAUUUUUAAGCCGAAAACAGUCCAUGGAGGAACUUCUUGGGAAAGUGGUGAACUUUAACCUCGCCAGGAUAAGAACGCUAACGUAAGAGUGAAUGGGAAAGCUUUCAAUGCACUGAUAGACGUGAGAAGUGCUUUGUCUUUAGAGAAAGGCUGCACAGCCCUUCUUGUGUCUGAGCCCUGGCUGAGGAAGGGAGACUUAAGCGACAGUGACUUUGUUCCGCUAAGUGGCAGCUAAAGGUUUCACCAGGUCACUGCUCAAUUCAGCAGCCAUGGGAGGAUGCAAAACCAAAGCGGGAGCGAAGGCAACUGGAGAAAUGCAUCCUCCCUGCUCUGCAGGGUCCUGUGCCAGCUUUUAUAAGCACAGCACUUAUCAGCACAAGUUCUAAAUUUAACUUGUGUUUCCUCAGGGUCUGUAACGUAUCCUCAGUGCACUUUUCAAUGCUGAAGGUGUUAAUGUACAGGGGGAAACAAAGCUAUCAGGGUAAACGCUGGAUUUAAGCUUUCAAAAUGGACGUUGCACUCAAAGGGCAAAAGCACUUAACAGAGUGCAAGGCUACAGCUCCAAGCAUGCUCCCCAAGGAUGGGGCAUUCUCUGAGCUCUGGAAGUACAACGAGUGCCUAGUCCUACAGCGUGUACUGGGAAUUCAGUCCUGCCUGUUGCCUGUGAGGUGCUUGGUAAAGGCUGGCACAGGAUUCAAUGCCCCCUUUGCCACAGCUGCUAUAUCCCUCUCCUACUCUCAGCUGAGAAUGUAUGAACACCACCCCUGCACACACCUCAUGUGCUGGCAGAUUUGUUCAAUGCAAUUCAGUGGCAGACUCAUUCAGACAAGAGCAGAUCUUGCUGCUUCCUUUGUUCAGCUGGGAGAAAAACUUCACAACUCCAUCUCAGAAGUGGUUUUCUAGAGCAGACUGCUUGUGCAUGCAAGGCAUCCUAGAUACUGUCAAACCCCACAACUGCCCGUGGUUUGCUUAAAUGUUUUAUUUACAUGAGGGAAGUACAUUCCAGUUGUCAGUCACAGCCUAACCUAGCAAAGGUCUGACAGACAGCUAUCCUGGAAAAUGCCUAAUUAUACUCUGAAAUGGGGCAGGAGCCCAUUUGGUUAAAAGAGCUGGUACCUGAAGCACCACACAUCCAAAUGAAGGCAAAGCUGUCUAUUUUCUGGAGUGCCACUAGGAACAACUCCAUGGUCCCAUGCUGCUGUGGCUCACGUUACCCCAGGCAACCCAGUCUGCAGGCUUCCCUUGACAAAGAAAGAAGCUUCAACUCAAAAGCUCUGACAUACCUUUGGCAUUCAGGGUCAAGAGAAGGAGGUGAGAGAAAAUACGUGGUUCAGUGCAUAUCACCAGAAAGAAGUGCUUCUUUGCUCGCUUCAGCAGGAUCACCAAGUCUCAGGUCCCCAGACAGGAGCUCUGAUAGUCUCUCACUUGUGCCAGUUUAAAUUCAUGGCCACACUUAAUCUACAAACUCUGCCCUGCUUUUAAAUGCUGAAUAAACUUCGUGUUCAUCUGCAGUGUAAAUACCCCACACAGAACAACGGAACUGCUGUCCUGGAGUCCAGACACUGAAAGAAGCAACAUCUGUUGCCAGGCACAGAUCCAGCAGGGAUUACUGCAGCCACAGCAAGGACUAAAUCAAAGGCAUGUGCCUGGACUAAAUAUGUAUUGUGAGCACAAAACCUUUACAGUGAAGGCAAUUGCCAGACUGAAGAAAUAAAGGAGCGGGUGGACAAAUCUAAUAUUUACCUCUGCCACCCUGGGCAGCUGCCAGGACAUUAAACAUGUCCAGGGUGCAGCACAUGGCCAUGGAGCAGCUGUGCUUCCCCAGCACCUCCUUCUCCACCUAGCAACAAGUGUCUUGCAAUUUAGCAUUAUUUUAAACACCAAACCUUGUGUAAAGGAAGGAAAUACAACUUGCUACAGGACUGUCUUGUACGCCUUUUGCAGAUAAUCCUUUCAUGUGGCAGUAGAAGGGCAAGGUUUACACCUACUGCUGUGUCGGGCACAGGCAAACCAUGACUGCUCCACCAAAAUCAGAUCAUAUGCAGACUUUCAACAGAGCAGCAGCAACAGAAUUCUGCUACCUGCCAAUGAGUUUGCUCUCUCCUAAUCAGUCCCAAAACUGAGAUGGAUAAAUAGCAAACUCAGUUAUCACAACAAACAUGAGAGACCCAUGCUGAAGCAGCCCAGGAAUAGGAGACUGAUCUGCAGGACAGUGGGAAACAGGCUAACACUGCCAGCACCUUACCCUCCCACAGCCAGGCAUGGCCUACAGCAGCCAGUUAUGUUGCCACUUCAUAGAGCAUUGCAUCCCAUCAGCAGUUUGGCAGACGAGGCUCUGUGCUCACACCAGUUCAGAUGUGGCACAGAUGGAAGUCUGCUCCGUGCCUUUCAGCAACAGCCCAAGCUUACAUCAUGGUUUAAAAGAGGCUGCCCCCAAGAGAGCUUUCCAACUGCUCAACGCAGCUCCAGGGGAACGGAUCAGCUAUGAGAGGCCCAAAGAAGUAAAACUGAGUUUAUUAUGUGUAGCAAGGACAGCUGCCCCAGUCAGUAGAAGUGGCACCCAAGAGCAAAGACUGCAAGGAGCAGGGUAGAGGCUCAGGUGGCAUUCUCCAAGCACUGCAGUCACCCCAGAGCAUGCUGCUGCUGCUGGACACAGCACACAGAACACCAAAGAUCCACUGCACCUGCAGACUUGUCGUGCAUUCCAGAGGGAUUUGGCUCAGGCCCAAAAUUAAGUCAGUUACAAGAUCCACUAACUGUACUCUGAAGGCUAUCACUGAUAUUAUUAUCACAAGGACUUAGCUCAAAUCUCAUCUGAAACUGCAGUACUGAAGAAUCUCAUGAGCUGUCCUCUUCUGGCUAUCAAGGCAGAAACUUCUUUUUUCACUAACUUUGUUAAAUUGAGCUUGUUAGACCACUUUUCCUCUGUUUAUUAAGGCAAAUGGAGAGGAUCAUGCCUUACUAGACCACAGUCUGAAUGCAACCCUCCAAUUCUCAUAAGCCUCCUAUUAGGGUGCUGAAAGGCAGUAAAGCACAGGGCUUGCACUGCAAUGUACUUGAGUCACUUUAACAGCAGUGAAAACAACAAAACCCAAUUAAAAAAACCCUGAAGGCAAUUCUAGUUUCCUGUGUUAAAACUCCACUGGAUCAGGUAAGGUUUAGUGCUGCAGCAGAGCUCCAUGCAGCACACACAGAUUCACUCAGUCUGAAUAAUUUCCUGUGCAGUCUGCACUGAGCCCUCUCAGACUCCUCAGCUACAAGAUAGCCAAGAAGAAAUUCAUACAGGAACUUAAAAAGACCAGACAGAGGAAUCAAGGAAAUAAAAGAGCUAUAAUGAAACUAAAUCAGCCCUUGUCCCCUAAAAUGCACUGCAGUUAAAAGUUCAGUUGGGCUUUGUCUAGACCAUAAAAAAAGUUGUAAAAUAUUGAGUAGUUUCCACAUUCCAGACAAAUAUUCUGCUUUUUAAAGAGGAAACAGACUUCCUUCAUUUACAUGCAAGUACUGUCAAGUCAUCUGUACUUCAAAUCCAUGUCUUCCAGCAAGAUUAACAAGCACUGCUAUCUCCCCCAAGCUAUCCUCACUUCCAAGGGCAUAUGCAGGCCCAUGACUGUGGAGUUUCUGCCUUGCAGCUGCUAAGAGCUGACCACCUUUUUAAGCAUCCUUAGCCUUAUUUUGUGCAACACAGGUCUGUCAUACAACCUCCACACUGAUUUUUACAAGCCAGGGUCAUCUCAAUCUUACUAGUUCCAUAUUUACAAUAUGCAAUAUGAAGAUAAUCAAAUGCAGUGAGCAGGCUUGCUGCCACAUCUGGGAAAUCUGAUACCACAGUCAGGAGGUCUCUGGGUUGAGCCACAUGCUGUACUAAGAAUGAAAGGGAGUAUCAUCUGAAACCCACCUUUAGAAGUUAACAGUGUUCCAUAGGUACACUUCCACGGCAGUGUAACAGCACUGAGAAAAAUCCCCCAGAAACCACACUGGCCUCAAAAGUGUGUACGCAUUAGAAUUUUCUUUUUCUGAGUGAUGUUUCUUUAGUUAAGAGAUUAUCUUGGUGUCAGUUUAGCUGAGCAUGUCUGCUUUGUACAUAAGCAACUGGUAAAAAUUCUGAGCAUUCCUGGCUUCUGCAAAGGAGGAAGAACCCGAAGACACUGAAAGUAGGGCAGUGACUAAGUAUCUGAAUAAUGCAAGACACAUUAAAACAUAACUGACAUACAGUAGUUACAGUAAAGUUAUUCAUUACCACUGUUUGGAGGCAACAGAUUCUUCCUUAAUUGUAUGCACAUGAUGUAAACUUUCCAUCAAGUUCAGCCAAGUUUGUUGUUCUGUGUUUCACUGCUAUUGUUUCAAAUAAAAAGAAGAAAUACAAUACAAUCAGGGUUCCAGCAAACCAUAAAUUCAGAUCUAUAGAAGUGAAGCCACCCCAAACAGUUGUCUUCACAUAGUUUGUGUAUCCAGCACACCCAGACUCCACUGGACCAAAUACAAUGGAAUCUUGAACAGAAAACAAGACAUGUUUACAGGGAGGAUAUACAGAGAUUUAUUUAAUCAGGUUUAUUAUUUACAGUUGAGAUCACUUUCACAGACCACUUUGCUACUCUACAUGGCUACAUUGUUUCCAAACCAACUGAAGGUCUACAGUCUAACAGUUCACUCAACACAUAAAACGCUCUUCAUAGAAAAAUGAAAUAUUUCAUUAUAGAACAGUAGUGCAUACAUUAUACUCCUGAAAAGCCAGCUUGUAUUUUAAACCACUAAGUCUGAAAGACUGGAUCUCUGAAGGUCAAAAUUGCAGUCACAUAAUCCUAAAACUGAUUAGGUUUUUUUUUCCCCCUACAAUUUCUUUAUAUAUAAAGUGUACUGGACUUAAGUGUUUUUUUGUUUUUUAAAAGUGACACUGGUGAGGGGCAAGAUUAAAACAUUUUUUCUUCUCAAAUUAAAUACAGCUGGCUUCCUUUGUACAACUUUGGCCAGAAAAGUUCCAUGUAGUGAAGGUUUAAGACUUCCUCUCUCUAUAUGCAGGAAUCAGCCAGUUAAUGCUUAGAGGUAAUCUACCAAAGUAGGCACACAUCCUUUGACUUUCAUAUCAACCAAA